rnacentral:lncRNA from 1 species
UCUUUAUAUAUCUUUAUAUCCCAGUACUAUAUCAAAAUACCGUAAUAACCUAUCAACAAUUUAAUUACCCAUAUACUCAAAUAUUUUCUAUAUUCCUGAAUACACUAAUACACUUGGUCCUUUGCAGGCAAAAUAUACAUAAGAAAAAAAAUCAAACUAACAAAACUGAUCUGCUGAAAAUAUACAAUAAUCCUUUAUAAAUAUAUUACUGGACAAACAAGGAAAAAAUUAUGAAAUUAUAUGUAAAUCUAGUAAAUGAAUAAUAAUAAUAGUUAAUAUUCAAGCCAAAUAUACUGUAUAAAUAUAAAAAUAUCAAUAAAUAUGAUAAUGGUGGAGUCCUUCGUUAAUGAUCCGACUAGAUAACAUUACUAAUGGAUGACAGCUGUUUGAAAUCAGGUAAAUAUCUUCAGUAAUUCAGAAACUACCAUUCAUUGGUUGACAAUUCAACAAAUUUAUUUCAAUUUCCAAAUAUAAAAAUCCACUGAUGACCUUUUUGUUAAAUAAGUUUUUUUCCAAGUAAAGAAAGAAAAGUGGGGUUAAAGGUAUAUAUUUUGACAUAGGCAUGGGAGUCAAGAUGGAUAUAUAUUUUUCAAAUUAAUACAAAAUUGGUUUUUUAUAAAGUUAAGCUAAAAUAAAAUGUAUUUGCAUGAUAAGAAUUAUUAAUAUUAAAUUUUACAUAUUCACUAAAGAAGUAAAUAUAAACAAUCUAAAUAACAAACUUGUACAUAUGUAAACA